rnacentral:rRNA from 1 species
UACGUAGGGACCAAGCGUUGUUCGGAUUUACUGGGCGUAAAGGGCGCGUAGGCGGCAAUUCAAGUCAGUUGUGAAAUCUCCGAGCUUAACUCGGAACGGUCAACUGAUACUGUUUUGCUAGAGUACAGAAGGGGCAAUCGGAAUUCUUGGUGUAGCGGUGAAGUGCGUAGAUAUCAAGAGGAACACCUGAGGUGAAGACGGGUUGCUGGGCUGAUACUGACGCUGAGGCGCGAAAGCUAGGGUAGCAAACGGG